rnacentral:lncRNA from 1 species
CCCACGCAAGAGGAAGCCCCAGGCACUAGGAGGGAAGGGCCUGCCCCCUCGUCCUCCAAGGGUGUGGGCACUUCCUCGGGAGCCCCAGUGGUUGCCAAGAGCGGGCUGCUGCCUCCCUGGCACUCAGGGCACCAGGACGCUUGUUUGCAGAGCUGGCGGCCAGCAGCUUGGAGCAGCUGGUUGUAAUUAUGCACUGCAGCUUCAGAGGAAGUUUCUGGCUGGGAGAGCGUGUGCUGGGCCUGGCUGCACAUUGGCUGCUGGGCUUCAGGGAACAAAGGAGCUAGAAACCAGUGGCAGCAGAGAACACUCCGAGGAGCAGGACCCGCGUGAAGGCAGGCAAAAAGAAAGGACAGGGUCUCUCACUGGACCAGGAACUCCACGAUGAGCUAUUGAGCAAACCUACAGAUCCUCUCAUCUCUAACUCCCCAGUGUCGGAUUACUGCCAUGCUAUCACGCUCAGCUUUCUACAGGAGUGCUGGUGACCGAGCUCAUGCUUUCCUGUCCCUGGAGCAGGCGCCAUACAGACCGGGCCAUCUCUCCAGCAUCCCCGAUCACUUUCAUUUUGAUUCCCUCCUGAUGUAGAGAGAAUAAACCUCCAUUUCAGAGGGAACGGGGUUUGAGUCUAUUAGCAUGUACCUCUGACAAGUCGCUCACCGCUCUUCCUCACUCUAAGAAGUGGUUAGUGAUACACACGCCUACAGUUGGUGGGUGCUUAGACUAAAUCAUGGAGUCCAGCACUCUUCAGUAUUAGUUUCCAUACUUGGAAAAUAGCAGACGGAACAUUGUAAUUCUGUCCCCAUGGGGCUGCAAUUAAUUUAUAAUUACAAAUACAGAGACUGUAAUUAAUUAAGCUAAACCGUCGAUUAGAAUGUACACCUACAAUAGUGCCUUGAUUUUACAUGUGGCUGUCAACAGAACAAGAUCUCCUCCCUGGAUUUUUUUAAAAGAUUUAUUUAUUUAUAGCUCCCUGUGCUGAAACUACAGGGUAGACCACCACAGAAUGCGAUGCUGGGGAUUGAACCCAGGGCCUCAUACCUGCUUAUCCAUCACUCUGCCAACUACAGUCCUGGAAGAGUAUAUUCUGUAAGCAAUAAAUGUCAGAACUGUCAAGUAUGCUCUGAUGAACUUUGGUACGGCCAAUAUUAAGCAAUACAGCCCCUUGUGUCAACACCCUGAGAAGGCUCUACUUUUCAAACAAGAUUAAAAGCAAAGCGAUGACGCUAUUAAGCCAUGAAUUCAUUUUGGGCUUCUUGUUAGCGGUAGGUCUUCUAUUAAUAAACCAGUAAUAAAUAACAAUUGUUCCAAAUAACAAUAAACUUCUAGGGG